rnacentral:rRNA from 1 species
GACGAACGCUGGCGGCGUGCUUAACACAUGCAAGUCGAACGGUGAAGGGGAGCUUGCUCCCCGGAUCAGUGGCGAACGGGUGAGUAACACGUGGGCAACCUGCCCCAGACUUCGGGAUAACGCUUCGAAAGAGGUGCUAAUACCGGAUACGAACUCCUUGGGCAUCCUGGGAGUUGGAAAGUUUUUCGGUCUGGGAUGGGCCCGCGGCCUAUCAGCUUGUUGGUGAGGUAACGGCUCACCAAGGCGACGACGGGUAGCCGGCCUGAGAGGGCGACCGGCCACACUGGGACUGAGACACGGCCCAGACUCCUACGGGAGGCAGCAGUGGGGAAUAUUGCGCAAUGGGCGAAAGCCUGACGCAGCAACGCCGCGUGAGGGAUGACGGCCUUCGGGUUGUAAACCUCUUUCAGCAGGGAAGAAGCGAAAGUGACGGUACCUGCAGAAGAAGCACCGGCUAACUACGUGCCAGCAGCCGCAGUAA